rnacentral:rRNA from 1 species
GUAUAGGUUUUCGGAUCUAGAGACCGGCGCACGGGUGCGUAACGCGUAUGCAAUCUACCUUUUACAGGGGAAUAGCCCAGAGAAAUUUGGAUUAAUGCCCCAUAGUAUAUAUGAAUCGCAUGGUUUAUAUAUUAAAGUUCCAACGGUAAAAGAUGAGCAUGCGUCCCAUUAGUUAGUUGGUAAGGUAACGGCUUACCAAGACUAUGAUGGGUAGGGGUCCUGAGAGGGAGAUCCCCCACACUGGUACUGAGACACGGACCAGACUCCUACGGGAGGCAGCAGUGAGGAAUAUUGGACAAUGGGCGCAAGCCUGAUCCAGCCAUGCCGCGUGCAGGAAGAAGCAUCUAUGGUGUGUAAACUGCUUUUGUACAGGAAGAAACACUCCCUCGUGAGGGAGCUUGACGGUACUGUAAGAAUAAGGAUCGGCUAACUCCGUGCCAGCAGCCGCGGUAAUACGGAGGAUCCAAGCGUUAUCCGGAAUCAUUGGGUUUAAAGGGUCCGUAGGCGGUUUAAUAAGUCAGUGGUGAAAUCUGGUCGCUCAACGAUCAAACGGCCAUUGAUACUGUUAGACUUGAAUUACUAGGAAGUAACUAGAAUAUGUAGUGUAGC